rnacentral:rRNA from 1 species
UACGGGGGGGGCAAGCGUUGUUCGGAAUUACUGGGCGUAAAGGGCGCGUAGGCGGUUUGCUAAGUCGAAUGUGAAAACUCUGGGCUUAACCCAGAGCCUGCAUUCGAUACUGGCAGACUAGAGUUCUGGAGGGGAUAGCGGAAUUCCUGGUGUAGCGGUGAAAUGCGUAGAUAUCGAGAGGAACACCUGCGGCGAAGGCGGCUUCCUGGCCUGUUCUUGACGCUGAGGCGCGAAAGCUAGGGGAGCAAACGGG